AGCCUGCUCACUGAUAAAAUUAUUAAAUAGCCGCGGUAUCUUGACCGUGCAAAGGUAGCAUAAUCAUUAGUUUUUUAAUUGGAAACUAGCAUGAAUGGUUGGACAAAGAAAAAGCUGUCUCUUUCAUUAAAAUUGAAUUUAACUUCUAAGUGAAAAGGCUUAGAUAUCUUAGAGGGACGAUAAGACCCUAUAAAGCUUUAUAAAUUCAAAGAUUUUAAUAUUUUUUUUAAUAAUGAUAAUUUUUCAAAAAUUUAUUGGGUUGGGGCAACAGAAGUAUAAUUAUCAAUAACUGCUAUAAAGUAUUACAAUUAUUUUUGUUAUUAGAGAGUUGUUGAUCCUCGAAAGGGAUUAAAAGAUCAAGUUACUUUAGGGAUAACAGCGUAAUUUAUCUUGAGAGUUCUUAUCAAAGGAUAGUUUGCGACCUCGAUGUUGAAUUAAAAUGUCUUUAUAGUGCAGCAGCUAUACAAGAAGGUCUGUUCGACCUUUAAUUUUUU
rnacentral:rRNA from 1 species